rnacentral:rRNA from 2 species
UACGUAGGUCCCGAGCGUUAUCCGGAUUUAUUGGGCGUAAAGCGAGCGCAGGCGGUUAGAUAAGUCUGAAGUUAAAGGCUGUGGCUUAACCAUAGUACGCUUUGGAAACUGUUUAACUUGAGUGCAAGAGGGGAGAGUGGAAUUCCAUGUGUAGCGGUGAAAUGCGUAGAUAUAUGGAGGAACACCGGUGGCGAAAGCGGCUCUCUGGCUUGUAACUGACGCUGAGGCUCGAAAGCGUGGGGAGCAAACAGG